rnacentral:lncRNA from 1 species
ACUCAGAGCACCAAGGGAAACUCUAGAGAAUAACUUUAUUUUGUUGAUUUGAGAUCCUGUAAUAUAGGAUGGACUUAUUUUUCCUUCUGGGAAAUUUUUCUUUUUUUUACCUGGCCUUGCUCAAUCAGAUGUUUCCCCAUGAACAUAACAGUUCUGAACAACACCUUUGUUUAACAUUGUAUUUGGUAUCAAAAUGUAUUAGUGGAUCAGGACUGAAUAAUUAUUAAACCAUUGGCUACUUUAUACAUUUCCAUUGUAGUCAUUUUAUAAUGAAGUUCCUGAUAGUAUAUACAAGUUG